CCCAAGAGACUGGGAUAACACCUGGAAACAGAUGCUAAUACUGGAUAACAACACUAGACGCAUGUCUAGAGUUUAAAAGAUGGUUCUGCUAUCACUCUUGGAUGGACCUGCGGUGCAUUAGCUAGUUGGUAAGGCAACGGCUUACCAAGGCAAUGAUGCAUAGCCGAGUUGAGAGACUGAUCGGCCACAUUGGGACUGAGACACGGCCCAAACUCCUACGGGAGGCAGCAGCG
rnacentral:rRNA from 1 species